GGUGAUGCAGUACUGGGACAAGCGCCACCUGCAGGCGGGUAGUGGAAGUGUUCGCAAUUGCGGUGUGGAAAGGUGAGAGGAGGCGGUUGCUAGGAGACAGGAGCUCCCCGCUGUACCAUAGAGACUAUAGGGGAAGCGGUACUGGGACAAGCGCCACCUGCAGGCGGAUAGCGGAAGUGUUCGCAAUUGAGUUCGUCGAGGUGUGAGGUACCGAAGCCGCCGAGUUGGGGCAGGCUGACGGAAGGAAUCCCAGCAUGGCUGCCAUUGGACGAAACCCGCACACACUUGAUCUGCACCUUCCUCCGACGUGCCGACCAUCUUCCCGUAUAUCUCCCGCAGCCUCUGGCUGUGCUUCUGCCGGCCAAUCCCGUUCUCCCUCGCGCUGUGCUCCACCGCCGACAACACUUCCUGGAACCAGAGCUCCACCUCUUCCGGCGAUCUCCUUGUGACGAGGGCACGGGCGGCACCCCCAUGGGCGGCAUCGGACUGGAUUCCUUGAUUAGAAUCCCCACAAUGACGCUCCCACUGGCCGGAUUCCUGUCCAGGCUUUUGUGCAACGUCCAUCUGAGCAUUCCUGCAAGAAAUGGCACAAUGAUGGCCGGGGCCCCCAGCGCAUUGCAGUACAGGAGAAGAUGCCCCGAAUUGAUUCCAAUGAAUAAAUAAAACCCCUCUCACUGUCUCGCCCAUCA